UACGGAGGGUGCAAGCGUUGUCCGGAAUCACUGGGCGUAAAGGGCGCGUAGGCGGCUCAUGAAGGCUGUGGUGAAAGUCCGGGGCUCAACCUCGGAUCGGCCGUGGCGACUCGUGGGCUGGAGCACUGUAGAGGCGGGUGGAAUUCCGGGUGUAGCGGUGGAAUGCGUAGAUAUCAGGAGGAACACCGGUGGCGAAGGCGGGUCUCUGGGCCGAUACUGACGCUGAGGAGCGAAAGCGUGGGGAGCGAACAGG
rnacentral:rRNA from 1 species